rnacentral:rRNA from 1 species
AACGAACGCUAGCGGUGUGGAUUAGGCAUGCAAGUCGCGCGCGAAAGCCUUCGGGCGAGUAAAGCGGCGAAAGGGUGAGUAACACGUAACCAACGUACCCCUCAGACUGGGAUAACCACUGGAAACGGUGGAUAAUACCGGAUGGUCCACUGGGCAGCAUUGCCUGGCUGGUAAACGGCGGCCGCAAGGCGGUUGCUGAGGGAGCGGGUUGCGGCCUAUCAGCUUGUUGGUGAGGUAACGGCUCACCAAGGCUAUGACGGGUAACAGGUCUGAGAGGAUGAUCUGUCACACUGGGACUGAGACACUGCCCAGACUCCUACGGGAGGCUGCAGUCGAGAAUCUUCCACAAUGGGCGAAAGCCUGAUGGAGCGACACCGCGUGCAGGAUGAAGG